GACGAGGUGGCCGAGAGAGGUUAAGGCGAUGGACUGCUAAUCCAUUGUGCUCUGCACGCAUGGGUUCGAAUCCCAUUCUCGUCG